UACGUAGGGGGCUAGCGUUGUCCGGAUUUAUUGGGCGUAAAGAGCGUGUAGGCGGCCAUGUAGGUCCGGUGUGAAAACUCGAGGCUUAACCUCGAGAUGUCAUCGGAAACCAUUUGGCUAGAGUCCGGAAGAGGAGAGUGGAAUUCCUGGUGUAGCGGUGGAAUGCGCAGAUAUCAGGAGGAACACCGGUGGCGAAGGCGGGUCUCUGGGCCGUAACUGACGCUGAGGAGCGAAAGCAUGGGGGAGCGAACAGG
rnacentral:rRNA from 1 species